rnacentral:rRNA from 1 species
AGCAGCCGCGGUAAUUCCAGCUCCAAUAGCGUAUAUUAAAGUUGUUGCAGUUAAAAAGCUCGUAGUUGAAUUUCGGGGUUCUUCCGUUGGUCGGGCUAUCCAGUCUGUACUAGCGUGUAGAAUUCCUACCUUCUGGGGAACCAUCAUGUUAUUAAUUUAGCGUGGUGGGAAACCAGGACCUUUACCUUGAAGAAAUUAGAGUGUUCAAAGCAGGCUUACGUCUGAAUACAUUAGCAUGGAAUAAUAGAAUAGGACGGUGGUCCUGUUUUGUUGGUUUCUGAAUCACCGUAAUGAUUAAUAGGGAUAGUUGGGGGCAUUAGUAUUCAAUUGUCAGAGGUGAAAUUCUUGGAUUUAUUGAAGACUAACUUCUGCGAAAGCAUUUGCCAAGGAUGUUUUCAUUAAUCAAGAACGAAAGUUAGGGGAUCGAAGACGAUCAGAUACCGUCGUAGUCUUAACCAUAAACUAUGCCGACUAGGGAUCGGACGAUGUUAAAUUUAUUGACUCGUUCGGCGCCUUACGG